rnacentral:rRNA from 1 species
GAUGAACGCUGGCGGCGUGCCUAAUACAUGCAAGUCGAGCGAACAGAUAAGGAGCUUGCUCCUUUGACGUUAGCGGCGGACGGGUGAGUAACACGUGGGUAACCUACCUAUAAGACUGGAAUAACUACGGGACACCGGGGCUAAUGCCGGAUAAGAUCUAGAACCGCAGGGUUGGAAGGAGAAAGUGGGUUUUGCUAGCACUAAUAGAGGGACCCCCGCCGUAUUAGCUGGUUGGUAAGUUAACGGCUUACCAAGGCAAGGAUACGUAGCCGACCUGAUGGGGUGAUCGGCCACACUGGAACUGAGCCACGGUCCAGACUCCUACGGGAGGCAGCAGUAGGGAAUCUUCCGCAAUGGGCGAGAGCCUGACGGAGCAACGCCGCGUGAGUGAUGAAGGUCUUCGGAUCGUAAAGCUCUGUUAUUAGGGAAGAACAAAUGUGUAAGUAACUGUGCCCGUCUUGACGGUACCUAAUCAGAAAGCCACGGCUAACUACGUG